GUAGAAGAGACCCCAGAGAGCUCCCUCUCUCCUUCCUCAAGGUGAGGACGCAGCGAGAAGGCGCCAGCUAUGAACCAGGAUGAGGGCUCUCACCAGAACCUGGCCACGCCAGCACCCUGACCUUGGACUUCCAGCCUCUGGAACUGCUCUGCUCUGGGGGGUUACAAAGUCCUUGAGCAUCCUCGGAAGCAGAUGAGGAGGACGAGUAAGCGGCUCCAUCUCUGAAAGGAUUUGCAGCAUCAUAGGUUGGUCUGUACCCUCCUUAGUUACACAGGCUGGAAAAGGGCCAGGAACGUGCACAGCUGACCGGCGUGUCAUCCCUGAAACCCGGCCGUGCACGGGGAGUCACGUGUCUACCUCAUCUUUGGAAAACUGCCUUGCUGCCUGAAGCCCACAGCAGGAGCCUGGACCCAUAAAUUUCAAAUUUUCCUAUUAGCCUUUAGGGGAGAAGGCUGGAGUCUUAAUAGACAUCGAUACUUCUAGAGCAAAGGGCACGGUGUUUGCACUCUACUUUGUACGGAUCCUGCACAUACAGCGUGUGGGGCUGAGCUCUCCAUGGCCCAUUCACCACGGUGCGGGAGGCCCAGCCACAUCCCAGGAGAAGCGACUGAGUGAGCAGAGGCUGUUUAUCCUGGAGAACAGAGGAGAACCCAAGGGAGCUGAUAGUAGUCUUCCAAUAUCUGAAGGAUUGUCAGAGGGAAGAACUGCUGUCCCACUUUGGUGGCCUCUAGAGGGUUGUGACAAUGACCGGUUGAUGGAAGCUUCAGGGAAGCAGAGAUCAGCGAAUCUGAAGUGGCAUCCUAACAGUGCUAGCUUUGAGUCAAACCACCUGAGUUCCCAUCUUGACUCUUCUACCUGGUAGCUGAAUAAAGUCUCUGU